GGGUUUACAACUACUGGUAUGAGGGUAGAAAACCACAGACUCCGCCGGGGAAAAGAUGGAUAAUUACUGGUUACUGAGCAAUUAUUCAUCUAAACUACGGGGAAGUGCAAGGAAAAAUCUCAAGAAGCCAAUCUAUGAAUAAACUAGAGAGGCACGAUGAAACCAGACUCAUCCCUAUGAGGAUAUAACUCAGGGGAAAUUCCAUCCAAUAUAUGUGUUGGGAGGAAAACAGAAACAAC
rnacentral:lncRNA from 1 species